rnacentral:rRNA from 1 species
UUUAUCGGAGAGUUUGAUCCUGGCUCAGGACGAACGCUGGCGGCGUGCCUAAUACAUGCAAGUCGAGCGGACAGAUGGGAGCUUGCUCCCUGAUGUUAGCGGCGGACGGGUGAGUAACACGUGGGUAACCUGCCUGUAAGACUGGGAUAACUCCGGGAAACCGGGGCUAAUACCGGAUGCUUGUUUGAACCGCAUGGUUCAAACAUAAAAGGUGGCUUUGGCUACCACUUACAGAUGGACCCGCGGCGCAUUAGCUAGUUGGUGAGGUAACGGCUCACCAAGGCAACGAUGCGUAGCCGACCUGAGAGGGUGAUCGGCCACACUGGGACUGAGACACGGCCCAGACUCCUACGGGAGGCAGCAGUAGGGAAUCUUCCGCAAUGGACGAAAGUCUGACGGAGCAACGCCGCGUGAGUGAUGAAGGUUUUCGGAUCGUAAAGCUCUGUUGUUAGGGAAGAACAAGUACCGUUCGAAUAGGGCGGUACCUUGACGGUACCU